AGAUGGGUCCACUGAGGUCCAAGGAGGAAAGGGACUUGCUAAAGGUCACAGGGCGGGUCAGAGGGGGUCCAAGCUGGACCUCCAGGGGUGGGUCCCAGGCCUGGCCUUUCCCCGUGAGCCUCAGGCCCAGCGGGCAGUGGCUGCCUCCCGUCAAGCCAGCUGUCCCGUGCAGAGCUGGCGCUGACCUCUCACGCUUUUGCGUCUGUCUCUGAGGCCAGAGAUCAGAGGCCAGAGAUGGUGGAGGCUGAGGAAGGGGAAGGCUGUGGACACAAGCGGAGCAGCUCCCCGUCUCCUCCUGGACCUGUCCAAGGACCACACCCCCGGCCCACCAGGAACAGGGGAGCUGGGCGCAGAGCCACGGACACGAGUGGGUCUUCAAACUGGGAAAGUUCCAAGCAAACCGGAAGCGCUGACUGCCCCAGGCCCCUCCCUCCCAGGAGGAAGCUGCAGGACGAACCCCCGGAGCCCUGGGGCUGCUGCAUCUUAAAUCCAAGCUGCAGAGACGAAGAUCAAAUGCGGGGCUCUGCCCCCUCCAGGAAGGCUUCUGGGAUUGCUCCGAAGUCACCGUCGCAACUCCCCAGACCUGGGCCCGGGGGUGGGGCUUCACAGAGGCCGGGACUGAAAUGCUGAACUGCCCUUGGUUAAUCCUGUGGCUGCGGCAGCUCACUUGGGUGAGCCAGGUGUCCCCCUUCAU